UACGUAGGGACCGAGCGUUGUCCGGAAUCAUUGGGCGUAAAGAGCGUGUAGGCGGCCACUUAAGUCCUGCGUGAAAUCUUGCGGCUCAACCGCAAGCGGUCGUGGGAAACUGGGUGGCUAGAGUGCGGGAGAGGAGAGUGGAAUUCCUGGUGUAGCGGUGGAAUGCGCAGAUAUCAGGAAGAACACCUAUGGCGAAGGCAGCUCUCUGGGACGGUACUGACGCUGAGACGCGAAAGCGUGGGGAGCGAACAGG
rnacentral:rRNA from 1 species